AACGAACGCUGGCGGCAUGCCUAACACAUGCAAGUCGAACGAGACCUUCGGGUCUAGUGGCGCACGGGUGCGUAACGCGUGGGAACCUGCCCUUAGGCUCGGAAUAACUCCCCGAAAGGGGUGCUAAUACCGGACAAUGUCUUCGGACCAAAGAUUUAUCGCCUUUGGAUGGGCCCGCGUUGGAUUAGCUAGUUGGUAGGGUAAAAGCCUACCAAGGCGACGAUCCAUAGCUGGUCUGAGAGGAUGAUCAGCCACACUGGGACUGAGACACGGCCCAGACUCCUACGGGAGGCAGCAGUGGGGAAUAUUGGACAAUGGGCGAAAGCCUGAUCCAGCAAUGCCGCGUGAGUGAUGAAGGCCUUAGGGUUGUAAAGCUCUUUUACCCGGGAUGAUAAUGACAGUACCGGGAGAAUAAGCGCCGGCUAACUCCGUG
rnacentral:rRNA from 1 species